UACGUAGGUGGCAAGCGUUGUUCGGAAUUAUUGGGCGUAAGGGGCGCGUAGGCGGUUUGUUAAGUCGGCUGUGAAAGCCCGGGGCUCAACCCCGGAGGGUCAGCCGAUACUGGCAGACUAGAGUACGGAAGAGGUAGCUGGAAUUCCCGGUGUAGCGGUGAAAUGCGUAGAUAUCACUAGGAACGCCGGUGGCGAAAGCGAUCUGCUGGACCUCUACUGACGCUGAGGCGCGAAAGCCAGGGGAGCAAACGGG
rnacentral:rRNA from 1 species